rnacentral:rRNA from 1 species
AUUGAACGCUGGCGGCAUGCUUUACACAUGCAAGUCGAACGGUAACAGGCCGCCAGGUGCUGACGAGUGGCGAACGGGUGCGUAAUGCAUCGGAACGUGCCCAGUCGUUGGGGAUAACUACUCGAAAGAGUAGCUAAUACCGCAUACGAUCUAUGGAUGAAAGCGGGGGACCGUAAGGCCUCGCGCGAUUGGAGCGGCCGAUGUCAGAUUAGGUAGUUGGUGGGGUAAAGGCUCACCAAGCCAACGAUCUGUAGCUGGUCUGAGAGGACGACCAGCCACACUGGGACUGAGACACGGCCCAGACUCCUACGGGAGGCAGCAGUGGGGAAUUUUGGACAAUGGGCGCAAGCCUGAUCCAGCAAUGCCGCGUGCAGGAAGAAGGCCUUCGGGUUGUAAACUGCUUUUGUACGGAACGAAACGGCUCUGGUUAAUACCCGGGGCUAAUGACGGUACCGUAAGAAUAAGCACCGGCUAACUACGUG